UACAGAGGUCUCAAGCGUUGUUCGGAUUCAUUGGGCGUAAAGGGUGCGUAGGUGGCGAGGUAAGUCUGGUGUGAAAUCUCGGAGCUCAACUCCGAAACUGCACUGGAUACUGCUUUGCUCGAGUACUGGAGAGGAGAUUGGAAUUUACGGUGUAGCAGUGAAAUGCGUAGAUAUCGUAAGGAAGACCAGUGGCGAAGGCGAAUCUCUGGACAGUUACUGACACUGAGGCACGAAGGCCAGGGGAGCAAACGGG
rnacentral:rRNA from 1 species